rnacentral:rRNA from 1 species
AUUGAACGCUGGCGGCAGGCUUAACACAUGCAAGUCGAGCGGGGAAGGUUGCUUCGGUAACUGACCUAGCGGCGGACGGGUGAGUAAUGCUUAGGAAUCUGCCUAUUAGUGGGGGACAACAUUCCGAAAGGGAUGCUAAUACCGCAUACGUCCUACGGGAGAAAGCAGGGGAUCAUUUGACCUUGCGCUAAUAGAUGAGCCUAAGUCGGAUUAGCUAGUUGGUAGGGUAAAGGCCUACCAAGGCGACGAUCUGUAGCGGGUCUGAGAGGAUGAUCCGCCACACUGGGACUGAGACACGGCCCAGACUCCUACGGGAGGCAGCAGUGGGGAAUAUUGGACAAUGGGGGGAACCCUGAUCCAGCCAUGCCGCGUGUGUGAAGAAGGCCUCUUGGUUGUAAAGCACUUUAAGCGAGGAGGAGGCUCUCUUGGUUAAUACCUGAGAAGAGUGGACGUUACUCGCAGAAUAAGCACCGGCUAACUCUGUGCCAGCCGCCGCAGUAA